rnacentral:rRNA from 1 species
CAGUAGCCACGGUAAUACGUAGGGUGCAAGCGUUGUCCGGAAUUAUUGGGCGUAAAGAGCUCGUAGGCGGUUUGUCGCGUCUGCUGUGAAAACCCGAGGCUCAACCUCGGGCCUGCAGUGGGUACGGGCAGACUAGAGUGCGGUAGGGGAGAUUGGAAUUCCUGGUGUAGCGGUGGAAUGCGCAGAUAUCAGGAGGAACACCGAUGGCGAAGGCAGAUCUCUGGGCCGUAACUGACGCUGAGGAGCGAAAGCAUGGGGAGCGAACAGGAUUAGAUACCCGAGUAGUCCCUGUCUCUUAUAC